rnacentral:lncRNA from 1 species
ACCCUCUUUCAGCUCUUGGUGAUGGUGAUCACUGUUCAGAAUAUACAUGAUCCAACUUCAGAAACGGCUGACAGUCAGAUGCCUGCUGUAAUCUGCAAUUCUAUCCUACAGCUUUCAAGUUGGCAGUUCAAGUGAGAAAUUCAUAUACAACUUCAAAAUCUUCAGCACGGUCAUGUUUCAACAGUUAGUUCUUCACAUACUCCUUACCUUAUUAUUGCAAUUGAACCAUCUAAGUCUUAAACCCCGAAUCUUUAAUUGUUAAACAAGGUG